rfam:Oryza glumipatula chromosome 4, whole genome shotgun sequence.
GUCCCAAAAAACCCUCUGUUUUCGUGUCCAACUUUGAUUAUCCGUCUUAUAUGAAAUUUUUUUAUAAUUCGUAUUUUCAUUGUUGUUAGAUGAUAAAGCAUGAUUAAUAUUUUAUGCGUAACUUGUCUUUUUAAUUUUUUCAUAAUUUUUUUAAAUAAGACGGACGGUCAAACAUAGGGCACGGAAACCAGGGUUUACCUUUUU